rnacentral:lncRNA from 1 species
GGACUGACCAGGACCAGCUGUGCUCGGCUCAGGGGACUCAGCAUAAACGAGGAAGAUCCAGCCCUUGUCCUUGGGGACGAGGGACUCAGAUAGGAACUCAGAAAUCCUCAGGCCUCGAGAGCGUCAGCAUGACCUGGAGAACUAAUGAGAAUGCAGCAGACCAAGACUGCCACUGCUGGGAAGAUCGAGUCGUUUCCAGCCUUUAAGAACAACUAAAAACCUAGGACGCCACGUAUAACGCAAACAUAAGAGGACUCUGGAAAGCGGAGAGAAAGCCGACUGGCUGGGGACUUCGGGACCGGAAGAGCGACACGGUGGUAUUGUGAAUGACGCUGCUAUGAAUAUGAGUGUGCAAAUCUAUCUUCAAGACCCUGCUUUCAGUUCUCUGUGGUGUAUGCCCAGAAGUGGAAUUGCUGGAUCACAUGAAUUGUUUUGGUAUUCUAGUUCCCUGGCCCAGCCGCCUGCCUGUGGCCCUCAGGAACCCCCACCCUGCCUGCCCGCAGAAGACUCUGCUAUUGUUGCACCCCACCACCUGCCCUUGGGCAUGAACCCUCAGCUUCCAAGGGACAGCAAUUCAGGAGCGGCCAAGGUGGCCAUUCUGGCUCAGGGCCUCUUGCGAGGCUCCAGUCAAGACGUCAGAGGGACUCAGUCUUCCAAAGGCGCCACGAGGGCUGGAGGCGCCACGUCCACAAUGGUCCCUGUCCACUUCCAAGACGGC